UACGGGGGGGGCAAGCGUUGUUCGGAAUUACUGGGCGUAAAGGGCUCGUAGGUGGCCAACUAAGUCAGACGUGAAAUCCCUCAGCUUAACUGGGGAACUGCGUCUGAUACUGGAUGGCUUGAGUUUGGGAGAGGGAUGCGGAAUUCCAGGUGUAGCGGUGAAAUGCGCAGAUAUCAGGAAGAACACCCGUGGCGAAGGCGGCUCUCUGGGACGGUACUGACGCUGAGACGCGAAAGCGUGGGGAGCAAACAGG
rnacentral:rRNA from 1 species